UAAAAUUCAAAAUAUGAAAGGUAAAUAUGUUAUUAUAAAUAAAUGCAAUGAGCCAGAUGUGGUGGCACACACCUGUAAUUCCAGUGGCUCAGAAGGCUGAGGCGGGCAGAUUGCAAAUUUGAGACAAGCCUCAGCAACUCAGUAAGGCCCUUACUAAGCAACUUAGUGAGACCCUGUCUCAAAAUAAAAAAUAAAAAUGGGUAGGGAUUUGGAUCAUUGGUUAAGCAUCCCUGGGUUUAAUCCCUGGUACCAAAAAAGAAAAAAAAAAUAUAUAUAUAUAUACACACACACACACAUAUAUAUAUAUAUAUAUAUACACACACACACACACACAGUGAUAUGAUAGAGCUGGUUUGUAUCCGUUUGGGAAAAAAAAUGGCAAAUGCUACAAAUCAGACUCUUUGGACCCCUCUGCAGAGCCAGUUGUUAAAAAGGGUAAGAGACUAAUGAGACACAGGGUCGAUAUUCCUUCAACAAGGAAUGUUCUCAUACUGCUUUUUUUGUGCACAUAAAAUUAUUUCAUGAAAGUAAAAAACAGGAGUUAGCUAGUUGGAGGCCAGGUUCAUGGUGGCUGGUGGGAGGGUUGUGAGCAGAGGUAACAGCAUAGUGAAUUUCAGAGAGAGCAGUUCAGGCGGUAAAAGUGCUGUGGUCCAUUCUAACUAGCAUGGUACAUGUAGGGUAGGUGGAGGGGGGGAGAGUAGAAAGGGACACAGAGGGCUGGUGUGCCACAGGCGGCAGUUUCACCCUGGGCAGGAGAGACAAGGCAGGCAGAUGGUGAGGGAGCCAUAGUGGUCUUGCUGAAAGAUGCAGCCAGAACACGGCCACGGCUGUGAGAAGUAAGGGCAGAGCAGGGGCCUGAGAGAUGCCCAGGAGGCAGGAUGGACUGGGCUUGGCGAUUGACAGGAAGGGGGUGGUGUCAAACAGGGCUCUGCUGCCAUUAAUGAGAUGAAGCUUGACACAUCCUUGAAGGGUGGUGACUUCCUUCCAAUGAGUGCAAAGUGAAACCGGGGAAGACUAACUACAGCGAGAGAACCAACAGACACUGUGCCAGCAGGUGAGGGAGGUUCACGCCAUCUGUGAUGUCUUGUUGACGGUACAUACCUUUGAUAUGCCGGGCUAAAAUGGCACUUCACUCUGUCAUGUCCCCGUAAGCCAAGUCUACACAUGAGAAAAGCAUCAAAGAAAUCCCAGUUGAAGAUCAUAUAUCUGACCUGUUGAGGUCAUCAAAAACAUGAAGAAUCUAAGAAACUAUCACAUGAAGGGGAGGCAUGACAACUGAUGCGGUCUGGAAGUGGAUUAUCCCCCUGUUAUCAGGUUUGUUCCCAGUGUGGUGCCAUUAGGGAUGUGGAGUCUAGUGGGAGUUGACUGGAUCAUUGGGGGCACUGCUUUUGGAAGGGAUUCUUGUGGGACCCUGGUUGAUUGCUGUGUGAGUGAGUUGUUAUAAAAUGGUUAGUCCUUCCUACUCUCUGACUUCUUGUCUCAUUGUGAGGUCUCUCUCUCACACAUGUGCUCCCCCAAUGAUGCCUACCAUCUGUCAAGAUGGGACAAUCAUGGGUUCCUUGCCUGAACUGGCAUCAUGCUGUUUGGUUCUUUCAACCUCCAAGAUUGUGA
rnacentral:lncRNA from 1 species